rnacentral:rRNA from 3 species
CUGGCGACCAUAGCAAGAGUGAACCACCUGAUCCCUUCCCGAACUCAGAAGUGAAACCUCUUAGCGCUGAUGGUAGUGUGGGAUUACCCAUGUGAGAGUAAGUCAUCGCCAGCU